CUUUCUUCAACAAACACGGGUCUGUGUCCAGCGAUCCUCUUCCCGUCCGCGGGUUAGAGUUGAUUACUGCGACAGCUCGAUCACCAAAGGAGCCAUCAAAUUCUCAUGAUGUCAAUCUUCCGAUCGACAGAUCCAAGAGAGACCGGUCUUUGGGAAGCCAUGUUCGCUUCGGCUUGAGCGUGGUGGAACAUUGUACUGGGGACGUCAUAUUCCUACCCCUUCAUCCGAGAUCGUCGAUCAAUGAGGUUAGGGAAAACCAUGACUUGCCCAAAUAU
rfam:Colletotrichum gloeosporioides Nara gc5 unplaced genomic scaffold scaffold113, whole genome shotgun sequence.